CCAUAGCAAAUAAGUGGGUUAGGGAUUGCAGCGGCAUCCUUUUAGUGUUGGUGGCUGAGGUGGUUACUUAGUUUAUCGAAGUGUUCUCGAAGCCACCAAUACUAAAAGAUAUAGCGUAAAGCCCGACCCGAA
rnacentral:sRNA from 1 species